rnacentral:rRNA from 1 species
CACGUAGUUAGCCGGUGCUUAUUCUUACGGUACCGUCAUGGGCCUCUCGUAUUAGGAGAAGCUUUUUCGUUCCGUACAAAAGCAGUUUACAACCCGAAGGCCUUCAUCCUGCACGCGGCAUUGCUGGAUCAGGCUUUCGCCCAUUGUCCAAAAUUCCCCACUGCUGCCUCCCGUAGGAGUCUGGGCCGUGUCUCAGUCCCAGUGUGGCUGGUCGUCCUCUCAGACCAGCUACAGAUCGUCGGCUUGGUAAGCUUUUAUCCCACCAACUACCUAAUCUGCCAUCGGCCGCUCCAAUCGCGCGAGGCCCGAAGGUCCCCCGCUUUCAUCCUCAGAUCGUAUGCGGUAUUAGCUACUCUUUCGAGUAGUUAUCCCCCACGACUGGGCACGUUCCGAUGUAUUACUCACCCGUUCGCCACUCGUCAGCGUCCGAAGACCUGUUACCGUUCGACUUGCAUGUGUAAGGCAUGCCGCCAGCGUUCAAUCUGAGCCAGGAUCAAACUCU